rnacentral:rRNA from 1 species
GCAUAUCAAUAAGCGGAGGAAAAGAAACCAACCGGGAUUACCUCAGUAACGGCGAGUGAAGCGGUAACAGCUCAAAUUUGAAAUCUGGCUCUUGCGGAGUCCGAGUUGUAAUUUGUAGAAGAUGCUUUGGGUUGUGGGUUCGGCCUAAGUUCCUUGGAACAGGACGUCAUAGAGGGUGAGAAUCCCGUAUGUGGCCGAGGCCCGCGCCUAUGUAAAGCUCUUUCAACGAGUCGAGUUGUUUGGGAAUGCAGCUCAAAAUGGGUGGUAAAUUUCAUCUAAAGCUAAAUAUGGGCCAGAGACCGAUAGCGCACAAGUAGAGUGAUCGAAAGAUGAAAAGCACUUUGGAAAGAGAGUUAAACAGUACGUGAAAUUGUUGAAAGGGAAGCGCUUGCAACCAGACUUGGGCGCUGCCGAUCACCUUGAGUUUUCUCGAGUGCACUCGACAGCGCACAGGCCAGCAUCGGUUCGGGUGGCUGGAUAAAGGCCGUAGGAAUGUGGCUCUCUUCGGGGAGUGUUAUAGCCUACGGUGCCAUGCAGCCCAGCCGGACCGAGGACCGCGCCUUCGGGCUAGGAUGCUGGCGUAAUGGUCGUAAUCCGCCCGUCUUGAAACACGGACC